GUACCAAUCUUCUUAAUGAAGAUUAGAGCAAUCAAAUGGAGCUUCACAGUAUAAGUUUGUGAGGGUUAUACAGAACUCAGUUGGUGCAAACCUUGCUGUAGAUGUAUGGAGUCUUGGGUGCAUUGUCUUGGACAUGGCUACGACAAAAACCACCUUGGAGCCAGUAUAAAGGGGGGGCUCUCGGAGAAGCAUGUAAUGGAGACACCACUUCUGUCAUUAUCUUUGGAAGUAUUUGAUGGUCAACUGGAUGAUCCUAUUAGCAUGUCCAUCCGAGGAGGUUUGUAUUCAUCUUUCCACUUUUUGAAAAAUGUUUAGAAAUCAUAAAGAUGCUUCUGAAGAUAGGUAAGCAACAAUUUCUAAAAUUUUAGUGUAAUCUUUUUUCAUUAUGAAGUUGUUCUAAUGGUAAUUAGUGAUUUCAAACAAAUUCUGUGAAGUGAAAAGUGAAAUUUUGUAUGUUUAUCAUUCCAAUUUAUCUUUAUGCAGACUUUUUCUGUUGAAAUGAAAGCAUACGUUUUUUUUCUUUUUGCUUUUUAUUUUUUAGUUUAUUGGUUGAUGCAUUUUAUGAUUGUUGAUAUGCAAGAUGCAAAGAUAAUUUCUUUGUUUCUAUAUACUGUUACUAUAAUUCUACCACUAGAAACUGGUUCUGCGAUUGUGGCAGAAAUGAACCAAGUCAUUGUGGCAGCAGAUGAACCAUAACCAUGCCAGUUUGUAGCCUGCGAUUCUACGUGUGGUGGUUUAAUUUAGUUCUGUUUUCAGUUUCAGGAGACCCUGAUUUUUCGUUCUUUGAGCCUUUUUUUGCAGCCUCCGAAGCCGUCUCUGGUCACGCCUUAUGAUUGCAGUGGUGAGCUUCCCUUUCAAAAAUUCCUUCUUUCCAGCAUUUAGGGAUUAUGAAGUGAUUUCUCUGCUUAAUAUGGGAUUAGGGUGACAUUUUUCUUAUAAUAAAAAUCUCUGUAUGCCACCUGUAAGCUUCCCUUUCAAAGAUUCAUUCUUUCCAGUAUUUAGGGAUUAUAAACUGAUUUCUCUGCUUAAUUUGUUCCAAAGUAUUAUGUAGAGAUUGCUUUAAUAUCUUGGCUUAUUGGCUGUAUGUCGGGUGUCUGAGAUAGGAUUUAGGAGAUCUGGUUUAGGUUUUGCAAAGAGAGAAAGA